GGUGAAAAGCACCCCGGAAGGGGAGUGAAAUAGAACCUGAAACCGUGUGCUUACAAGUAGUCAGAGCCCGUUAAUGGGUGAUGGCGUGCCUUUUGUAGAAUGAACCGGCGAGUUACGAUUUGAUGCAAGGUUAAGCAGUAAAUGUGGAGCCGUAGCGAAAGCGAGUCUGAAUAGGGCGUUUAGUAUUUGGUCGUAGACCCGAAACCAGGUGAUCUACCCUUGGUCAGGUUGAAGUUCAGGUAACACUGAAUGGAGGACCGAACCGACUUACGUUGAAAAGUGAGCGGAUGAACUGAGGGUAGCGGAGAAAUUCCAAUCGAACCUGGAGAUAGCUGGUUCUCUCCGAAAUAGCUUUAGGGCUAGCCUCAAGUGAUGAUUAUUGGAGGUAGAGCACUGUUUGGACGAGGGGCCCCUCUCGGGUUACCGAAUUCAGACAAACUCCGAAUGCCAAUUAAUUUAACUUGGGAGUCAGAACAUGGGUGAUAAGGUCCGUGUUCGAAAGGGAAACAGCCCAGACCACCAGCUAAGGUCCCAAAAUAUAUGUUAAGUGGAAAAGGAUGUGGCGUUGCCCAGACAACUAGGAUGUUGGCUUAGAAGCAGCCAUCAUUUAAAGAGUGCGUAAUAGCUCACUAGUCGAGU
rnacentral:rRNA from 1 species